GGCAAUAUUGGUAUCAACAAAAUAGUGUGAGAAGUUAAGGGUUAAGGUGUGAUGAGUGUUGAACAGAGGGAUUCUAUCUUGUGAUAAUUAAGGAUUGUUGUCAAAUGAUUGAUGAUUAAAGGGAAUUAAACACUCGAUUCUGGGGUGUAAGCAGAAACUCGUGUUAUAUUGCAGCAGCUGUCUAGUUUUGAAAUGGUAAAUUUUCGACUUAAAUGUGUCAUGUUGGUGUUUGGGGAUAGUUUAAG
rnacentral:misc_RNA from 1 species